AGACCCGAAACCCGGUGAUCUAGCCAUGGGCAGGUUGAAGGUUGGGUAACACUAACUGGAGGACCGAACCGACUAAUGUUGAAAAAUUAGCGGAUGACCUGUGGCUGGGGGUGAAAGGCCAAUCAAACCGGGAGAUAGCUGGUUCUCCCCGAAAGCUAUUUAGGUAGCGCCUCGUGAAUUCAUCUCCGGGGGUAGAGCACUGUUUCGGCUAGGGGGCCAUCCCGGCUUACCAACCCGAUGCAAACUGCGAAUACCGGAGAAUGUUAUCACGGGAGACACACGGCGGGUGCUAACGUCCGUCGUGAAGAGGGAAACAACCCAGACCGCCAGCUAAGGUCCCAAAGUCAUGGUUAAGUGGGAAACGAUGUGGGAAGGCCCAGACAGCCAGGAUGUUGGCUUAGAAGCAGCCAUCAUUUAAAGAAAGCGUAAUAGCUCACUGGUCGAGUCGGCCUGCGCGGAAGAUGUAACGGGGCUAAACCAUGCACCGAAGCUGCGGCAGCGAACGUAUCACUUAAAGCGAUUCAGCGGGUUACGAUUGACGGAGCGAAGCGACGUCAAAGCGUAUACAAAGUCGAGUCGGUUUAAGGAU
rnacentral:rRNA from 1 species